AAAUCGAAUUCACUUUAUCAACGCACCAUGCAAAUGCACGUCAAAAUUACAGAUACCACAACCGGACAGUGUCCAAAAAAUCUUCAUACAAUUCACUUAAACUACAAAAAAGUAAUUUUCAUACAAACUUAGAUACUGUCAAUGUUACUUUUUUUUUGGUGCAUCUGCAUGGUGCGUUG